ACGUGGGUGAUCUGCCCUGCACUUUGGGAUAAGCCUGGGAAACUGGGUCUAAUACCGAAUAUGACCACGCUCUUCAUGGGGUGUGGUGGAAAGCUUUUGCGGUGUGGGAUGGGCCCGCGGCCUAUCAGCUUGUUGGUGGGGUAAUGGCCUACCAAGGCGACGACGGGUAGCCGGCCUGAGAGGGUGACCGGCCACACUGGGACUGAGAUACGGCCCAGACUCCUACGGGAGGCAGCAGUGGGGAAUAUUGCACAAUGGGCGCAAGCCUGAUGCAGCGACGCCGCGUGAGGGAUGACGGCCUUCGGGUUGUAAACCUCUUUCACCAGGGACGAAGCGCAAGUGACGGUACCUGGAGAAGAAGCACCGGCCAACUACGUGCCAGCAGCCGCGGUAAUACGUAGGGUGCGAGCGUUGUCCGGAAUUACUGGGCGUAAAGAGCUCGUAGGUGGUUUGUC
rnacentral:rRNA from 1 species